UUUCCUCAUAAAUUCUUUUUCCACAGAUCUGGCCUGAGUAAUAUUUGCCCUUCCCAAAUCUCGUUCGAGCGUGAUUACUGGUUUUUACUUUCCAAAAUCGCACGAUUUCUUGCUUCUCCAGCUCAAUGAAUCAGUUCAUCGCUCGAGCCGCUCCAGUACCACGCACCCCUGACCUCCAACACCGUUGCUGCCCCUUUGGUUCACGUCUCCACUGUCGCCCUCUGGAUCCCCGUCUCCACCGGCGCCCCCUUUAUCCCCAACACCAUUGCCGCCCCUUUGAUCUCCGUCUCCACCGCCGCCCACUCCCCAACACCAUCUCCUCCCACUGCCGGAGGCACCACACACAGACCCUAUUUGAAGGCUGGAAUCGAGUUUGCCUACCUGGGUUCUUCGGAGGCCGUCACGGUAGUGGACGAGGUCAUCCCUGAUCUGCACCCGAUGGGAGGUUGGCGACAAGGAUGACGCCGUGGCCUCCAUCGGCGAGCUUGAUCAGGUGUUGCUGCACGCGCUGGGCAUUCCCAGGAGCAUGCGUGGUGCCCUCUUGUCAGAAGGUUGAUCCAAGGCAAGAUGGAGCUCUUUGUCAGUCACAACUGAAAAGUUACCCACGACCUUAUCAAACAAUACCAAAGCUGGCUUAUUUAGAACCCCUAUAUCUGGCGGUGUGUAGAGCACAACAUACCCCCAUGGUUUACCUCCACCAGCUUUGGUUGUUCGCAAUUUGAUGGCGCAGGUCAGAUUUGCUUCAUCUAUGCACUGCUGUGGCCGGCAUGCAUAACCAACUGAAUAUCCAUUUGGUUCACUUGGUGACUUUGCUGAUGACUCAAUGGGGCGCGCAUACAUAAUAGCAUGUACUUUCACAGUUUCACUCAUGUUGAUGGGUGGUGGGGUGGAAUUGUUAGGCUUUAAUUUUGCUAAAUAGUGUUCAGAGUUGUAGCUCCCAAAUGAUAUUAGUGCACAUGUAACAUCUCGGUUAACUGAAACAUGACCUGUAGUUUUUGUAUUUGUAGAUGGCAAAUAUUUUGAUAUGGUAAUUUAUCAUAAGAACAACA